GAUGAACGCUGGCGGCGUGCCUAAUACAUGCAAGUCGAGCGAACGGACGAGAAGCUUGCUUCUCUGAUGUUAGCGGCGGACGGGUGAGUAACACGUGGAUAACCUACCUAUAAGACUGGGAUAACUUCGGGAAACCGUAGCUAAUACCGGAUAAUAUUUUGAACCGCAUGGUUCAAAAGUGAAAUAGGGUCUUGCUGUCACUUAUAGAUGUAUCCGCGCUGCAUUAGCUAGUUGGUAAGGUAACGGCUUACCGAGGCAACGAUGCAUAGCCGACCUGAGAGGGUGAUCGGCCACACUGGAACUGAGAGACGGCCCAGACUCCUACGGGCGGCAGCAGUAGGGACUCUUCCGCAAUGGGCGAAAGCCUGACGGAGCAACGCCGCGUGAGUGAUGAAGGUCUUCGGAUCGUAAAACUCUGUUAUUAGGGAAGAACAUAUGUGUAAGUAACUGUGCACAUCUUGACGGUACCUAAUCAGAAAGCCACGGCUAACUACGUG
rnacentral:rRNA from 1 species